rnacentral:rRNA from 1 species
ACACGUAGAGGGCGAGCGUUGUCCGGAAUUAUUGGGCGUAAAGGGCGCGUAGGUGGUUUUGUGUGUCCAAUGUGAAAGGCGUCGGCUUAACCGGCGAAUUGCGUUGGAAACUACAGAACUUGAGUGCAGGAGAGGGGAGUGGAAUUUCUGGUGUAGCGGUGAAAUGCGUAGAUACCAGGAGGAACACCGGUGGCGAAGGCGGCUCCCUGGACUGAAACUGACACUGGGGCGCGAAAGCGUGGGUAGCGAACGGGAUUAGAUACCCCGGUAGUCCACGCCGUAAACGAUGGGUACUAGGUGUUGGGGGUUCGACCCCCCCGGUGCCGCAGUUAACGCAUUAAGUACCCCGCCUGGGGAGUACGGCCGCAAGGUUGAA